CUUUUAAGAAGUGAACAACCAAGCUAUUUGCCUGGAAAAGUCUCCUGAAAUACUGAAGUUAUGCUAAAGAAGGAGAAGAGAAAGGAAGCUGCAGUCCCUGUAUAACUCUUAAAUUUUUAAUUUGGAGUUCCUCUUCUUUGGUGCAACAAUCUUUCUGCAUGCACAGAUCCAUGUGGCACUCAUCUCAUCAUUCUGAGGGAUGAAAGAUGCAUGGGGAAUAAUGCAUGUGGUUAUUUCUAUUUCUCUCAAGUGCACAUUAUCCAUCAAGAUUUAAAUCAUUUUGAAAUAUUAAUAUAAUGAUCAAAAAUUAACUUUUAUACAUGUUAUUAGGCAGAACCCACAGAAAACAAUAAAGCAGGAGAGAAAAGAGGAUGGCAGUUUACCCAGGAAACAUAGGUUGUUCAAAGCUUUGCAAUGAUAUUCUCAAUUCAGAGCAAUGAAGAACAGAAUGCU
rnacentral:lncRNA from 1 species